rnacentral:tRNA from 1 species
UCCUUGUUGGUCCAGUGGUUAAGAUUCUGUGCUUCCACUGCAGAGGCUACAGGUUCAAUCCCUGGUCAAGGAA